GUGGGGAAUAUUGGACAAUGGGCGAAAGCCUGAUCCAGCCAUGCCGCGUGAGUGAUGAAGGCCCUAGGGUUGUAAAGCUCUUUCAACGGUGAAGAUAAUGACGGUAACCGUAGAAGAAGCCCCGGCUAACUUCGUGCCAGCAGCCGCGGUAAUACGAAGGGGGCUAGCGUUGUUCGGAAUUACUGGGCGUAAAGCGCACGUAGGCGGAUAUUUAAGUCAGGGGUGAAAUCCCGGGGCUCAACCCCGGAACUGCCUUUGAUACUGGGUAUCUCGAGUCCGAGAGAGGUGAGUGGAAUUCCGAGUGUAGAGGUGAAAUUCGUAGAUAUUCGGAGGAACACCAGUGGCGAAGGCGGCUCACUGGCUCGGUACUGACGCUGAGGUGCGAAAGCGUGGGGAGCAAACAGGAUUAGAUACCCCAGUAGUCC
rnacentral:rRNA from 1 species